AUUAACGAGAUUCCCACUGUCCCUGUCUACUAUCCAGCGAAACCACAGCCAAGGGAACGGGCUUGGCGGAUCAGCGGGGAAGAAGACCCUGUUGAGCUUGACUCUAGUCCGACUUUGUGAAAUUACUUGAGAGGUGUAGGAUAAGUUGGGGAGCCUUAACCGGCGACGGUGAAAAUACCACUACUUUUAACGUUAUUUUACUUAUUCCGUGAAUCGGAGGCGGGGCUACCCCCCUCUUUUU
rnacentral:ncRNA from 1 species